CCUACGGGAGGCUGCAGUGGGGAAUAUUGGGCAAUGGGCGCAAGCCUGACCCAGCAACGCCGCGUGAAGGAAGAAGGCUUUCGGGUUGUAACCUUCUUUUCUCAGGGACGAAGCAAGUGACGGUACCUGAGGAAUAAGCCACGGCUAACUACGUGCCAGCAGCCGCGGUAAUACGGAGGUGGCAAGCGUUAUCCGGAUUGACUGGGUGUAAAGGGCGUGUAGGCGGGAAAGCAAGUCAGAUGUGAAAACCAUGGGCUCAACCUGUGGCCUGCAUUUGAAACUGUUUUUCUUGAGUACUGGAGAGGCAGACGGAAUUCGUAGUGUAGCGGUGAAAUGCGUAGAUAUUAGGAGGAACACCAGUGGCGAAGGCGGUCUGCUGGACAGCAACUGACGCGGAGGCGCGAAAGCGUGGGGAGCAAACAGGAUUAGAUACCCCUGUAGUC
rnacentral:rRNA from 1 species